rnacentral:rRNA from 1 species
UACGGAGGAUCCAAGCGUUAUCCGGAUUUAUUGGGUUUAAAGGGUGCGUAGGCGGCCUAUUAAGUCAGGGGUGAAAGACGGUGGCUCAACCAUCGCAGUGCCUUUGAUACUGAUAGGCUUGAAUACACUAGAGGUAGGCGGAAUGUGACAAGUAGCGGUGAAAUGCAUAGAUAUGUCACAGAACACCAAUUGCGAAGGCAGCUUACUAUGGUGUCAUUGACGCUGAGGCACGAAAAGCGUGGGGAUCAAACAGG